AGGACGAUUCAGAGGUCAUUUUGAUUGAGGAAGGAAGCCAACCACCUGUGAUCCUUAUAAAUUCGGAUGAAUCAGACGAUGAAUUUUCAGAAGUGAUCCUCAUAGAUUCGGAUGAUUCAGACAAUGACCUUCCAGAGGUGAUAUCAAUAGACUCUGACGAAGACAAGGAAUGGGAGGAAAACAUUGAUGAUGAGAUUAUAGAAUUAGAUGAUCAUAAUU